rnacentral:lncRNA from 1 species
GAUCGACUAAGUUGUAAAGAAUAGAAAGUAUAUCAGAAGAUCUAUGGUGGAGCAUAGGUUGGUCGAUCUAGUUUUAUACUAAGUCGACUCAGUCUCAGGACGAGUCGGCUAAGUCUGCGAAAAAUAACAAACCAAGAUUUUAAAAUCUGGAUGUUUUAUCUAAUUUAAAAAAAUAUUUGGGGAAGAUGACUGAGCAGCUUCAUGAGAUAAAUAAAAGGUUAGAAAAUCAAGAUACU